rnacentral:rRNA from 1 species
CAAUGGGGGAAACCCUGNAUGCAGCGACGCCGCGUGGAGGAAGAAGGUCUUCUNCNCANUAAACUCNNGAAAAUUGAGGAAGAUAAUGACGGUACUCAACUNUCNAAGUGACGGCUAACUACGUGCCAGCAGCCGCGGUAAAACGUAGGUCACGAGCGUUGUCCGGAAUUACUGGGUGUAAAGGGAGCGCAGGCGGGAGAACAAGUUGGAAGUGAAAUCCAUGGGCUCAACCCAUGAACUGCUUUCAAAACUGUUUUUCUUGAGUAGUGCAGAGGUAGGCGGAAUUCCCGGUGUAGCGGUGGAAUGCGUAGAUAUCGGGAGGAACACCAGUGGCGAAGGCGGCCUACUGGGCACCAACUGACGCUGAGGCUCGAAAGUGUGGGUAGCAAACAGGAUUAGAUACCCUGGUAGUCCAAGGGCGAAUUC